UAGGGAAUCUUCGGCAAUGGGGGCAACCCUGACCGAGCAACGCCGCGUGAGUGAAGAAGGUUUUCGGAUCGUAAAGCUCCGUUGUAAGAGAAGAACGUGUGUGAGAGUGGAAAGUUCACACAGUGACGGUAACUUACCAGAAAGGGACGGCUAACUACGUGCCAGCAGCCGCGGUAAUACGUAGGUCCCGAGCGUUGUCCGGAUUUAUUGGGCGUAAAGCGAGCGCAGGCGGUUUAAUAAGUCUGAAGUUAAAGGCAGUGGCUUAACCAUUGUUCGCUUUGGAAACUGUUAAACUUGAGUGCAGAAGGGGAGAGUGGAAUUCCAUGUGUAGCGGUGAAAUGCGUAGAUAUAUGGAGGAACACCGGUGGCGAAAGCGGCUCUCUGGUCUGUAACUGACGCUGAGGCUCGAAAGCGUGGGGAGCAAACAGG
rnacentral:rRNA from 1 species